UACGUAGGGUGCAAGCGUUGUCCGGAAUUAUUGGGCGUAAAGCGCACGUAGGCGGCUUUCUAAGUCAGGGGUGAAAUCCUGGAGCUCAACUCCAGAACUGCCUUUGAUACUGGAGAGCUUGAGUCCGGAAGAGGUGAGUGGAACUCCGAGUGUAGAGGUGAAAUUCGUAGAUAUUCGGAAGAACACCAGUGGCGAAGGCGGCUCACUGGUCCGGUACUGACGCUGAUGUGCGAAAGCGUGGGGAGCAAACAGG
rnacentral:rRNA from 1 species